rnacentral:tRNA from 1 species
GGAGAGGUGCUGGAGUGGUCGAUCAGGAACGCCUGCUAAGCGUUUGCCCUGGCUCAAACUGGGGCCGCGGGUUCGAAUCCCGCCCUCUCCGCCA